GUGUCAGCCGCCGCGGUAAUACGUAGGGGGCAAGCGUUGUCCGGAUUUAUUGGGCGUAAAGAGCGUGUAGGCGGCCAGAUAGGUCAGCUGUGAAAACUCGAGGCUCAACCUCGAGACGUCGGUUGAAACCAUCUGGCUAGAGUCCGGAAGAGGAGAGUGGAAUUCCCGGUGUAGCGGUGAAAUGCGCAGAUAUCGGGAAGAACACCCGUGGCGAAGGCGGCUCUCUGGGACGGUACUGACGCUGAGACGCGAAAGCGUGGGGAGCGAACAGGAUUAGAAACCCGAGUAGUCC
rnacentral:rRNA from 1 species